GCCGAUAGGGCUGCAAUAGCAGGGUACUUUGAUAUAGUAUUAUUUAAAGUUAUACUUUCGUCGGUA
rnacentral:tRNA from 1 species